rnacentral:lncRNA from 1 species
UGGAGCACUGGCUAAAAAAAGAGUUUGAACUGAUGAUUUAGGAUGAAAUUGAGAACGGUUUCCUUCCUCUGAAUUAGGCUGAGUAAAGUUGAAACUACCUAUCCUUACUCUCUUAUUUUGCUCUUCUAUCUGCUGAGCAUGAGUUAUAAGCCUGGCUAUGUUCAUGUCACUAUUCAACAUCACGGACCUGGACUCAUUGACCACACUCUCGUUCACCCAAGAAAUAAACUUACUCAUUUUGUCCCUUCUAUCUGCAAGCACAUGAGGAGCAUAUCUGGCAACAACUGACUGAUCAAGAGUAGUGACUGUAGCUCUGAACUCUGUAUGAGAGACAUACUUACCCAAAAGAUCUUCG